GGGGAAUUUUGGACAAUGGGCGCAAGCCUGAUCCAGCAACGCCGCGUGGAGGAUGAAGGCCUUCGGGUUGUAAACUCCUGUCAGGUGGAACGAAAAACCUCAGCUAACAACUGAGCAUAUGACGGUACCACCAGAGGAAGCCCCGGCUAACUCUGUGCCAGCAGCCGCGGUAAUACAGAGGGGGCAAGCGUUAUUCGGAAUUAUUGGGCGUAAAGGGCGCGUAGGCGGCCCAGCAAGUCAGGGGUGAAAUCCCUCGGCUCAACCGAGGAACUGCCUCUGAAACUGCAGGGCUUGAGACCGGGAGAGGGUGGUGGAAUUCCCAGUGUAGCGGUGAAAUGCGUAGAUAUUGGGAGGAACACCGGUGGCGAAGGCGGCCACCUGGACCGGUUCUGACGCUGAGGCGCGAAAGUGUGGGGAGCAAA
rnacentral:rRNA from 1 species